UACUCCUACGGGAGGCAGCAGUAAGGAAUAUUGCUCAAUGGCCGAAAGGCUGAAGCAGCAACGCCGCGUGAAGGAUGAAAGGCUUUUGCUUGUAAACUUCUGUAAGAAGGGAAAAAUAAAUUUAUUCAUAGAUUUUGAUUGUACCUUCAGAGUAAGCCCCGGCUAACUACGUGCCAGCAGCCGCGGUAAUACGUAGGGGGCAAGCGUUGUCCGGAUUUACUGGGUGUAAAGGGUGCUCAGGUGGGUUUGUAAGUCAGAGGUGAAACCCCGAAGCUUAACUUCGGAACUGCCUUUGAUACUGCAUCCCUGGAGUUUGAGAGAGGCGAGUGGAAUAUCUGGUGUAGCAGUGAAAUGCGUAGAUAUCAGAUAGAACACCAAUGGCGAAGGCAGCUCGCUGGCUCAAUACUGACGCUAAAGCACGAAAGUGUGGGGAGCAAACAGGAUUAGAUACCCUGGUAGUCCACACCCUAAACGAUGAAUACUAGAUGUUGGUCUCUUUCUAGGGAUCAGUAUCUGAGCUAACGCAUUAAGUAUUCCACCUGGGAAGUACGAUCGCAAGGUUGAAACUCAAAGGAAUUGACGG
rnacentral:rRNA from 1 species